rnacentral:lncRNA from 1 species
CUGUUGGCUAGUUCUUGGUGUGCAGAGCCUUGAGUUUCAAACCUCUGGAUCAGCGUCAGUCUCUACCAGAGGGAGGCAGAGGUUCUGUCCUGGAACCAUGGUUUCCAUAUAAGCUAGAGUACUUCCGUCUAGCAGAGGACCUGAGCGUUUAUGUAUGACUAAAAGGCAUGAGUUAAACAAGAGGUUUUCCUAGUUAUAGCUGAGGGGAAAAUAUUGAGUAAAAGACUUUCCUGAGAUGUUCCUCAUGGUGGUGCUAAAAGGAGGAGGGGAGGCCUGGAUUGCAGAGGAGAAAAAAAAUGCUGACUCCAGUAUCCAGAAAAAUGUUCAACUUCCUCCCUUCAACCUCUAGAAUUACCAGGGGCUCCUGAAUGGUAAUGAGAGUCUGAGCUAUGGGAGCUGGGGAGUCGAGCCCCAGGACCCCUCAGUCCUGCUGGGCCGUUUCUAAGACUGGUUCUGCACCCGGUGACCUACAACUCCAGGAACAGUCUUCCUUCCAGUGGUCUCCAUCACAGGCUGGACAGGGUCGGGGUAGCUUCCUCUUGCUACCUGGGCAAUCCUCAAAGUGCCCUGAUUUGCCGCACUUGUGUCAGUUAACAGGUGCCCCUCAGGAAUCCUGGGUUUUACAGGCCUGAAGAAUUGCCAAUAGACCCUCUGCUUCUUUCUUAUGCUUUCUCUCUUUCUCUUGAGCCUCCUCCAGAUCUUUAUUGUAAAAACCAAGGUGGCCAUCUCCGGGAGGUUUCCUAAAGUGCUAUCUGGUUAUAUGGCUUGCUUUUGCAGCUUCCUCCUGAUAUCAGGAGCUGCCUGAGUAAUAAACUUAUUCUUCAGAAUUAGUUGUUUCUCAACUGAAUCAGGAGAUAGCGAGGUACACCUCACCAAGGCCUCUUCUUAUCCUUUCUAGAAAGGCAAAGGUAUUCUCAUCUGGUCCUAAUUCUAGUUCUUUGUAGGCCUUCCAAUUUGUGCAUCUCCUAUGUUAUCACUGGGGUCCCAUUUAGGUCCUCAAGUGGUACUGCUGUCUUUCCAAUUGGAUAAGGCUCUUCCCACUCUGUGGCACUAUGAGAUACAAAGCUCAUCUCCGAAUUUCUUUGCUGUUUGCUGGGCUGCCUAUUUCUCAGUAGUGGUCAGGGUUUGAUUUAAGAGUAACCUAUUAUCCUUCCAGGAGAGCUCAAAUACUUCUGUUAAAUUCUGGAAGGCCUCUAUACAUGAAUGAAGUUGGGGCUUUCUCAGAGAAAAUUUUAGAAUCUGAGGGUUAAAGGAGUCCCAGUGAUCCAGGCUGCACUUGACGUGAUUCCAGGCUGAAGAUAGGUUGUUAUUCACCUAUGGUGUGUCCCCGCCCUCUGGUGUCAAUGAUCUUUGGGGUCCCUCAGAUCUAUUUCUUCUUUUGAUUUUCCAAACUGGAGCUUGGAAAAUACAUUCAAGUAAUCUAAUUUGGGCAAGGAACUCUAAUGGAGGUGUUGGCCUUAAAUCUUUUAGAGCAUUCCUUGACUGAUAGGUAAUGAACAGAGCCAGAUCACAGAAUUCGAGGAAAUGGGAGUGAUUAACCUCCAAACACAGCCCCGUCUUCCCAUCCAGGAGUCCUUAUACUCAGAGGCAGAACAGGUAUCUUAGAAAAUGAAGGAGUUGGUUUGGCUCAUU